UGGACCAAUGAUGACAAAUACCGGCGUAUGAGUCUUGGAUGAUGAAUAAUACGUGUCUGGAACUCUGAGGUCCAU
rnacentral:snoRNA from 10 species